AAAACUUAAACUUUUAUCAUUGCCGUGACCAGUUUUCAUUCGCUGAACCUAUUCUGUUUCCCAUGCCACUUGAAGACUGCACUUAGUUUUUGGAGUUUCCAGACUUUUUCUACCCUGUCUGUAGAUAUUCGAAAUUGUUAUCUGGCAUCUCUGGUCUGAUGUUCGUUCAUUUUCAUUUUGUGAUUGAUAAUCGAAGACACAGGAAGCAAAUUUGUAUUCUUCGCUAAAAACACGAUUAGAUCGCUUGGUGUAAUUGCACGCAUGUACUGAUAUUAUCAAAAUGGCGUCUGGUUUAUCGAGCUUCAUCGAGAUUUCCUGCAGUUUUGCAAAGCUUCGCGCCGUGUUCCGGCCAGCGGUAACCGAUCCUACCUAGAUUGCGGUUCCGCUGGCCUUCGGCGAUAUGAUGACUACUUCUUAGAGAAAUCAAUUUAUUGUUUUAUGUGUGAUUUUCUAAUAAAUGUUUGGUGUUCGUA